GGGCCCGCACAAGCGGUGGAGCAUGUGGUUUAAUUCGAUGCAACGCGAAGAACCUUACCAGCUCUUGACAUUCUGUGAACUUUCUAGAGAUAGAUCGGUGCCUUCGGGAACACAGUAACAGGUGGUGCAUGGCUGUCGUCAGCUCGUGUCGUGAGAUGUUGGGUUAAGUCCCGCAACGAGCGCAACCCACGUCGUUAGUUGCCAGCAUUUAGUUGGGCACUCUAGCGAGACCGCCGGUGAUAAACCGGAGGAAGGUGUGGAUGACGUCAAGUCAUCAUGCCCCUUACAUCCUGGGCUACACACGUACUACAAUGCUACGGACAAAGGGCAGCAAACUCGCGAGAGCUAGCA
rnacentral:rRNA from 1 species